UACACAUUUAUGUCCCUUGCUCCUGUGAAGU
rnacentral:piRNA from 1 species